CAUUUGGUUCUGAUGUUACUUUUGCAG
rnacentral:piRNA from 1 species